rnacentral:lncRNA from 1 species
AGAAAGAGUGCUUUCGCCGUGGGUGCAGAGGGUGGGCCCGCCGGGUUGGGUGGGGGGCGUGUGAUGACGGUAAUGGCGACGAGAUGCUCAACUCACGCGGCCUCUUUUAAUCCUCACAGCAGCUCUGCGUGGAGAAACUACAGUAACGUGUUACCACGUUAAGGCGGGAAGCUGAGGCAUGGGAGUAUUUAGUAACGUUCCCGGGCCGUAGAGCUGCGGUGUGCGGCCGCCUGAUCCACCUGAUCUGUAUGACUCCCGUACUCAACCAGCCUAUGUUUCCUACCAGCGAAUUUUUUUUUUUUUUUUUUUUUUUUUCUUUUUUUGAGACAAUCUGGCUCUGUGGCUCAGGCUGGAAUGCAGUGGUGCGAUCUCGGCUCACUGCAGCCUCGACCUCCCAGGCUCGGGUGAUCCUCACUUCUCAGCCUCCCGAGCAGCUGGAACCACAGUCGCCUGCCACCACCAGGCUCGGCUAAUUUUUGUAUUUUUUGUAGAGACGGGGUCUCGCCAUGUUGCCCAGGCUGGUCUGGAACUCCUGGACUCAGGCGAUCCUCCUGCCUCGGCCUGCCAAAGUGCUGGGAUUACAGGCGUGAGCCACCACGCCGGGCCUUUCCCCGGGAAUGCUGUGGUAGAGGGACCCGCAGAGGCCCCGAGGCUGCCUGCAUGUGUGUGUUGGGAGGAUCUGCGCUGAGGGUGAUUCCUGCGUGGAUGCCUGCGGGGAUUCCUGCGUGGAUUGGGGAAGUCCUGCAGCAUUACAGAAUUGUUACCCAACGCCAGGGCCUUGGUCCAGAGUCCUGUUGCUAGAUGCACAGAAAGCAAAUCACUGAGAUGUAAGUAUUGCCAGGGAAGAAGGCUUUAUUCAGGUGACAUCAGCCAGAGAGACAGGAGACGAAACUCAGGUCCACCCCUGUCCCUCUUCCCGACUAAAGUUGUAGGUUGAUAUAGUCUAAAAAGAAAGCAGGAGCCAAGGAAGAGGAGGUGGCCCGCAGGCCGCAGGAGCAGCCUCUCAUUGUCCAAAUGUAGGUUUCUCAAGCAUCCGGCUUGUUAGGAAAUUGGGCCAGUUUCAGAAUCAUCAGCUUGUUCAAAAGUGGGACUUGGGAGGUGAGAAGGGUUGUCAGGCAGGAAACCCUGCAUUCUGCUUUGGCUGAGUGGAUGGGGCCCAGGAGGAUGAGCAGCAUGGGGAAGAGUAUGACUCGUAGUGGGCACCAUGAGGAUAAAGAGUUACAAGCUCCUCUGGCAUGGGCUGGAGGGAAGGGAGACCCUAUCGCAUAACCACAGCCCCACCUGCCUGGAGAGAAGAGGGAGGCGGCCCCGCUCCGUGCCACCCCACUGAGAAAGAUAGGACACCUGGAGCUCCAGCUCAGCAAUCCCUCAAUCCCUCAAUCCUUCAUUUCAUCCUUGCAACAGUCCCAGGAGGUUUUUUUUUUUUUUUUUUUUAAGGCAGAGCCUCCUUCUGUCACCCAGGCCGGAGUUCAGUGACGCAAUCUCAGCUCACGGCAACCUCCACCUCCCGGGUUCAAGCGAUUCUCCUGCCUUAGCCUCCUGAGUAGCUGGGAUUACAGGCAUGCGCCACCACGCCAGGCUAAUUUUUGUAUUUUUAGUAGAGACGGGGUUUCGCCAUGUUAGCCAGGCUGAUCUUGAACUCCUGAUUUCAGGUGAUCCGCCUGCCUCGGCCUCCCAAAGUGCUGGGAUUACAGGUGUGAGCCGCCUCACCCAGCCAGGAGGUAUCAAUGGUUAAUUCUCUCCACUGAACAAAUGGAAAAACUGAGACUCAGAGAGGGCAGGAAUGGCCUUGGAUGCAGUGAUUCCAUGGUGUGGCCUGAGUCAGAUGCCAGGGCCCCUCGGACGCCCGCUCCACAGGAGAGGGGUGACUCAGAGGUGCCGUGUCUGUCCUCUUCUCCUGAAUAUGGGUGGUUGGUGCGGGGGCAGGGGGUGAGUCACUGCACUGUUUCCCAUGCCUCCCACCUCGGCUCUCAUGGUUGGGAGCGGCUGAGGGAGGAGGCUGAGGCAGGGAGAGGGAAGACCCAGGAGGGAGGAGGCAGGCGCUGCUUUGAGGGGUGCCCUGGAGCCUUGGCAAUCCUUUUCCUCCUCGGGCCCGGGAGCCCAGGCCCCGUCUCCACCAGCCGCAGGCGACAGCUGUCAUGGUGGUCUACAGCCUGGGCCUGGGGAAGGGCUCAGAGCAGUGUGCAGCUGCAGCCUUGGGCCUCCAUGGCCACCAGCAGCAUCCUCAGGCGGCGCGGCGAUUGCGGCGGGUAGCGGAGGGCGUUGAGCUUCUCCAUCCCCGGGCUGCGCAGGAGGCAGGCGCGAUGGUGGGAGAAGGUGUCGAAGGAGAACUUGCCAUGGUACCGGCCCAUCCCACUGGCACCUGUACAGUGGCACAGAACACAGGUGGUCAGGCGCUGGGGGUCUCCUAGUCACAGACAGUGGGGCCUAGGCGGGCUACUUCUCCCCUCUGAGCCUCAGUUUCCCCAUCUGUCCAGUGGGCUGAUCAUGAGGCACUGUGUGUAAAGGGCUUGGCCCCGAGCUUGGCACCAGCUCAGUAAGCCCUGGGGAUGCCAGAUGCCAGGGCAAGAUAGGCGGGUGGUGGUCAAGGGCAUGGAUUCCAGAGUCAGACUGCCGGGGGUUAAACUCUGGCCCUGCUGCAAACAAUCCAUGUCACCUUGGACUGUGCCUCAGUCUCCUCUGUCGUGGGGUGACAAGGGUACCUCCCUCCUAAGGUUGUGGUGGGGAUUGAGGGGAUGUUGAGACCCCUGGACCCAGUAGGUGCUAUGUGCAGUGAACUCUCCUCAGCGUCUAGGUUGGGAGGCAGACGAGGCCCCAGGCCAGGGCGUUCAGAGCACAGCCUGGGUGGAGUGGGGUUGGCUGGGGGGCUUCCUGCAGUGAGUGAGCUCCAAGGAUAUGCAGUUAAUAAGACGAAGAGAGUGGGUGGGGGCAAGAGGGACCCAGGCUUGGGGAGCCUUAGAGGUGGGUGCCAUGCGGUGUGUUAGGGACCUGGGCAGAGCUCAGGCUGUGGGAGCAGCAGGUGGGGAAGCCGGGGUGGGGCCACGGCCACCAAGAAGGGUCAGCUCGGGGGCCUGGGAGCUGGGGGAGGCUUUCUUGAGGGAGCAGCAGGGUCAGAUGUGCCCACAGACAGCCCCGACUCUCCUCCAGGGCAGGGAGGCGGGUUGAGGAGGCUGGGGCUGGGGCUGGGGAGGCAGCUAGGUGGGGUCGGGGGCAGCCGCCCAAACUCGAGCCGAGCCAGGACAGCAGCACAGGCACUGUUGUGCCCCUGGCUGCCCUCCAGGAAGGGCAUGGACCCACCUGAGGCAGCUUGCCUGGCCCUGCCAUCGUUCACUGUGGUGCUGAGUGUGGACAGGUGGCGGGACUGCCUGUCACCUGCUCGGGGCCUACUGUUCUCUGAGGAGGAAGUGGGCUCAGAAAGGGGAGAUGUCACCUGGGCCACAGGGCCUUCAGCGUGUUGCUAGGACCAUCUCUGAGGCUUCCUGACUCAGAGGCCAGGACUCUGCAGUGGCAUCGGGGCUGCUCUGGGGGGUGGAGGAUUGGCACUCAUCCGGGCCUCUCAGGGUGGGGAGGUGUUGUACUGAGAGCUGGAGGGGGGAUGGGGUUAGAGGAGCAGCUGCCCUGGAGUAAAGGACACCGGCGGCAUUGCUGCUGAGGGGCAGACACCAGGUCAUGCUGUUGGGGAGAAGAGCAAAUAGCAUCGCAGUGGGCAGUGUGAUCAUAGUUGUGUGGUAUUUUUAAAAAUUCACUAAAUUGUGUGUCUGUGCAGAGAUGGUCUAGAAGGUUCCACCACAGACUUUUUUUUGAGAUGGGGUCUUACUGUGUUGCCCAGAUUGGACUCAGACCCUCUGGGGUGGGGAGCAGGAUGCGGGUUCUGGGGUGAGGCCUCCUUGCCUGUCCCUCUACAUUGAGGUGGGGCUGGGGUGCUUUGGCAGAAAUGUAUGCAGGUAACACUAUUGCAAUUUGACCAAAUGGUAACAGAAGGGCAGGGUAGCAGGCACCUACCCACUCCUCCAAAAGGCAGGCUGGCCAGGGUCAUGUGCAUGAAGCCGUCGUUCCCACAGAAGCCCCCGCUGCUGGUCUGGGUCAGCACCCGCUUGACCACCUGGGAGAGAACAGGAUGUGCGUGAGGCUGCCUUGAGCCCCAUCAGGAUCCUCAGGACCCAGAGCCUGUUCCAUGCUGGACUCUGUGACACUGAUCUUGCCUCAGAAAGGGUCUGAGGCCACCAUGUCAGCUGAAGGGCCUGUGAUGGUACAGGUGGGGCAGGGGGUUGUGUAGCAGCUCCUCAUGAAGCUUCCAACUUGGGACAUGUUUCCUGGACAUCUGCUCAUGUGUGGUCCAUGCUGAUGGCACAGACUCUUAGGGCUGGGGGUAGGGGCAGGAAACCUAGUGUUGCUUGGGGACAUGGAGGGUGUAGUGGCAGCAGGGCAGUACUGGACAGUAGGGAGGCAUCCCAGGAGAGGGGUGUCAUGUGCCUGCUGAGUGGAGGGACUGGGAGGGACAGAAGUUGUUCAGGCAAAGAGGGCACUGCAGACAGAGUGGAGGCUGAAGAGCUGUGUGGUGUGAACACAGGGACAUGAAAACAUAAUGAUGUGGUCAGAUUUGCACUUUAGAAACAGAAGCUUGGCCCUUGCUUGAAGGUCCUUGAGAAGGACCUUCUUCCUCAAUCUGUAGACUUAUUUGAAGACUGAAAGGAAAAAAAGAUUGGUAGACACUAAAUAGUUGCUGCACAAAAACUUCAGUAUAUUUAGUUGCAAUCACCGUGAACCUCUGAUCACAGCUGGGUCAGGGCUUGUCUGAUGUGGGGAAAGCGGACUGCCCCCAGUGGAUUCAGACGUCACUUCAUGGCAUGAGACCAGCAUUACCCACAAUGGCAGUGGCAGCAGAUGGAGGAGAUGGAGCAGAAGGCAGCAGAGGGCGUCCCAGGUAGUACGGGCAAGCCACCUUGUGCAUGACUUGUGUCUUAGGUGUGACUGUGUGUCCUGGGAUCAGUUCUGGGUGGUCAGAAAAGUUUGAAGCCAGAUGACUCCACUGUCAAAAAACCUCUGUAGAGUUUUCUAAAGGUGAAAGUAUCCAGAUGAAGCAGGGCUCCUUGAAGGAAUGGCUGCUUCUGGAGUUGGAGCAGGGGAGAUACAAGAUGAGCCUGGAGCUGCUUGUAGCACCAGAGGGGAAGGAGGUGGUCACAACCCAAGAGGCUGGGACAUCUUACAUGGGCUUCUGAGCCCGAGCCUCAGACAAACCACACGACCUUGGAUUACAGCCCCUGGAGUCAAAUAAAUAUACCUGAGUCCGUAGUGACCUAAAUAAACAAUUCAAGAGAUGAAUCUUUCUUACAGAAUUCCAGGAAAUAGAUGUAGAUACUGCUGUUAGCCAAGAAUACGGUAUCCAGCUAAGACUAUGCUUCGUAGAUGAAGAAAUAAAGCCUUUCCCAGACAAGCAAAGGCUGGGGGAAUUUAUCACUACUAGAUCAGUCCUGCAAGAAAUGCUCAAAGGAGUCUUAACAUAAAAACAAGUUGGUAUUUGCCAUAAUACACACAAAAGUACAAAACUCACAGGCCCUAUAAAACAAUCAUACAAAGGAGGAAGAGAAAGGUAUCAAAUGGCAAUACAACAAAAUUCCACCAAACCACAAAUGGAAUAAGAAAAGAAUGUAUAAAAUAACUAGAUAAUAACUAACAAUAUGAUAGAGCAGCAUACAGCUUAAUUACCUCCACCUGGUGAGGGUGGGGUAGGCUUAGAGACUUGCUUCCAAAUAAUAAAGAAACAAACAAUAGUAGCUUCCCAGGGAAACCCUGGCAGAUACCGUCCUGACCCGGUAGUGAAGGUUCCACUCACUAGCCACGUGUGCAUCUCAGGUGCCCCAGAUGUGGUGUGAGAGGCAGGCUCACCUCUGUGGGAUUCUCUCCUAAAACCAGUAACCUUUCUUUAAUCAUGAGAAAUACACCAGAUGACCUGAGGCUGGGGAUGUUCUACAGGAGACCUGUCCAGCACUCCUUAAGCUGAGAGGGUUAUUAAUGCAAGGUGGGACCCUGGCUUGGAUCCUGGGGCCGAAAGAGGAUGUCAGUGGAAAAACAGCAAAAUCCAAAUAAAGUCUAGAGUGUAGUUAAUAGUAAAGCACUGCUGUCACUUUUUUUUUUUUUUUAUGGGUCAGGAGAUCCUUCCACCUCAGCCUCCCGAGCAGCUGGCAUUACAGGUGUGCGCCACUAUGCGCAACUAAUCUUAAAAAAAUGUUUCAUAGAGACGGGGUUUUGCUAUAUUGCCAGCGCUGGUCUCAAACUCAUGAGCUCAAGCAAUCCUCCCACCUUGGCCUCCCAAAGUGCUGAGAUUACAGGUGUGAGCCACCGCGCCCAGCCCUGCCAUCACUUUUUUAGUUUUGACCCAUCUAAGCACCAUUAAAUGGGGGAAAUUAGGUGUGGGGUACAUGGGAACUCUCUGUACCAUUUUGGCAACUUUUCUGUAAAUCUAAAAGUAUUUCCCAAUACAAAGUUUAUUUAAAAAAAGUUCAAGUGGCCGGGCACGGUGGCUCAUCCCUGUAAUCCCAGCACUUUGGGAGGCCGAGGCAGGUGGAUCACCUGAGGUCAGCAGUUCAAGACUAGCCUGACCAAUGUGGCAAAACCCCAUCUCUACUAAAAAUACAAAGAAUUAGCCGGGCAUAGUGGCACACGCCUGUAAUCCCAGCUACACAGGAGGUUGAG